rnacentral:rRNA from 1 species
GACGAACGCUGGCGGCGUGCUUAACACAUGCAAGUCGAACGGAAAGGCCCUGCUUUUGUGGGGUGCUCGAGUGGCGAACGGGUGAGUAACACGUGAGUAACCUGCCCUUGACUUUGGGAUAACUUCAGGAAACUGGGGCUAAUACCGGAUAGGAGCUCCUGCUGCAUGGUGGGGGUUGGAAAGUUUCGGCGGUUGGGGAUGGACUCGCGGCUUAUCAGCUUGUUGGUGGGGUAGUGGCUUACCAAGGCUUUGACGGGUAGCCGGCCUGAGAGGGUGACCGGCCACAUUGGGACUAAGAUACGGCCCAGACUCCUACGGGAGGCAGCAGUGGGGAAUAUUGCACAAUGGGCGGAAGCCUGAUGCAGCAACGCCGCGUGCGUGAUGACGGCCUUCGGGUUGUGAACCGCUUUCGCCUGUGACGAAGCGUGAGUGACGGUAAUGGGUAAAGAAGCACCGGCUAACUACGUG